AAUCAAGCAGUUAAGCAAAUUAAAUCACAACUCAGAAAUCACAACUGAAGGUAAUCAAUUCAUAUUACAAAUAUAUUCAUGGCUUUGAAUUAACCUCUAGCCAAAAUAAAUUUAGUUACACAUUAUUAAAACAGAAAUAAAAUAUAAGUUUGGAAAGAUUUAACCGAGAGAGAGGGCAGAUUGCUGCUUUCUUCACUGGCGUCCUCCCUGUCUUCUCUUGAUCUCUCCGCAUGUCCUCACUUCCCCCUGCUGUCCUCACCUUUCUCUGCUGUCCUCACCUUCGGUUUCUGCUUUCCUCGCUGCCCAAGGCAGCCAAGCCUUUUAUUCCUCCUGCGCAGGUUCACGCUGCAAGAGCAGCCUGAUGCGAAAUAUAUAAGCACACAAAUUUAACCCUCUUUUUGACAAUUGUAGUAUAGAUGUAAGUAGGGUAUCGUUCUAGGCCGGGGAUUAGGAGGGAUUGCUAAUCUAUUCUAAAUUAAUUUAAAAAUAUUAAAUAAGACUCAAGGACACAAAACUAGGCUAAAAACUCUAAUAACUCGAAACACACGUAGAAUGACCCAAAAUAAUGGAAACAAUCAAAUUAGACACUAGGAACUGAAAUGGACGGAAAUUGAAUUAAAAGACUAACAACAAUGAAAGCUAACUAAAUAAUAUAAUUUAAUAAUGGGGGGUGUUUGGUUUUGACGAGAAGUAAAUUAAACUUAAAUAAAUUACAGAAUUGACAAAAAUAUGAAAUUAAGGUGAAAGGAUAGAUGACGGACUAGCUAGAGGGUUCUUCUCCACACAUGACACAUAUGCAACCUAAAUUGAUUUUUCAGUUGUUCUUUCAAUAAAUUGUAAAUCUCAACGCCCCAAAUUAACCGUGAAUUGCACUAAUUAACCCUCAGUUUUUCCACAAGUUAUUGGGUUGGAUGAUUGCAUACGACAACCCAAAACAUUCCCUACAAGUUCCCUACAUGAAUUGCAUAAUAGAGAUACAAGCAAGAAUCAUUAAGUUCUAUGAAAAACAUAAGCAUUGACGAGGCACUCGUUACUAUGAUUUGCAUGAAACUUAUGCCAAGAAUUUACUUAACGUGAUUGUGACUAGCAACCUUCACUACUUGUGAAUAUAAGUUCAUAACGAUUAGGUGAAAUUCACUUAUAUUCUAGCAUCAAAUUCAUGCAUGUAAAUUAAGUAUGCAUCCUUAAUCGACAUACAAAAAUAAGUUAUAAAUCAAGCAGUUAAGCAAAUUAAAUCACAACUGAAGGUAAUCAAUUCAUAUUACAAAUAUAUUCAUGGCUUUGAAUUAACCUCUAGCCAAAAUAAAUUUAGUUACACAUUAUUAAAACAGAAAUAAAAUAUAAGUUUGGAAAGAUUUAACCGAGAAAAGAAGGCAGCUUGCUGCUUCUGUCUGUGCCCUUCUCGUGCUGCAAGGCAGCUUCCUGUCAGUUCUCUCCUCUUCCUUCCGUGCUGCCCUCUGCCCUCACUUCUCUCCCUUUUAUUUUCUUAUUCUGUUUUUUUCUUUUUUUUUCUGCGCAGUCCUCUCUCUGCACUCUUCCCUGCGCCUCUGACUUCUAUUUUCUUCUUAUUUUCUUCUACACAGUUUUCUGUGCUGCACCACUGGCUUCUGACCUCUCCCUUCUGUCCGUGCUAUCUGCUGCCGCAAGGCAGCUGUCUGCCUUUUGGUUCUCCCCUGCUCAAGCUGCCAAAUGGCAGCUUUCCUCUUGCCUUUCUCUCCUGCCCCGCGUCACUUCUCUCUGUCUGACCUUCUCUCCCCCCUGCUGUCCUCACCUUUCUCUGCUGUCCUCACCUUCGGUUUCUGCUUUCCUCGCUGCCCAAGGCAGCCAAGCCUUUUAUUCCUCCUGCCCAGGUUCAC
rnacentral:lncRNA from 1 species